GGUGUGGGGACUGUGGGAAGUUAUAGUGUGACCAAGAAGCAGCAUUUUGCUGUCUUGAAAUGUUAGGAAUUUUUAUUCCUAGGUUUGUGGCUGGAGGGCUCCCUCCAGGAUACGGAGUGACAGUCAGAGGCUGAGUGGUUACCUUGUGAGAGCUGCAGCCAGGUGUGUUUGUGUGUAUCAGUGCUCUGUGCCACUUCAGCCUGCUCUCAGUGGUCAUUUGAGCUCAGCUGUGGGAGUGUGGGAGGCCCAGGCAUUGGAUAUGACUUCCCAGGAAAGCCCAUGUAUGAGACAUGGGAGUGCUGGUGUCUGGGAUAGAACAUCCUUACAGGGAGGAGGAAUGGAAGGUUUUGACAAGUGUUACUUGUCUUUUUCUGUUCUCAUUUUCUGCACAAAACACUCCCUUCUGAGAUAAGCUUAGCAAGAUUGGGAGUCAGCUUAAAGACUGUCAGGGAUGGCUCUGCAGAAAAUUUUCCAUUUUUUAGUAGGAUGUUCUGCCAUAGGUGAUCACUUCUUUGAGAAUUUCUUUUGAUGCAGUUUUUAGGAUGGUGUUUGAGAGCAAUGCAUAUAAUGAGUAGAGCGUCUCUCUUUUCAUAAAAGCUAUUUUUAUGCUAUUCUUAUCCAUGUGGCUCUUUCAGAAACAAGAUGUAUUUCUGUGCUGUGCUGAGUGACUGUCAUGAGUGGUGUUCUCAAAGGUCAUGAAUUGGUAUUUGAGGGGCUGGUGUGCACUUUGUGUAAGAAUUGAUAGAAGAAUUGAGAUUCCCUUUUCAGAGGUUCUCACCUGUAUAUUUGCUUUCAUAUUAAUGUGCUGCAUAGACUCGACUGCACAGGCUCUUUUGAAAAGUCACCAGUGAGGAUGUUGAGAAUGAUGGGGUUGUAUUUGACCCUUCCAUCUGGGGGAAGUGUUGAUGAUAGAAGGGGAAUUUGAUGUUUUGAGGGUGACAGGGCUGUAGUCAGAGUAUUAUAGACGUGUUGUGUGAGGAAUUUGGUUUAGCCUGCAUCCUUAUCUUUGGUGUGCAAUUGUGAAGGUGUUCUGCCACCUCACUGGAUGAUCCAGGCCUCUUUAGGGAGGGGUUUCCUUCUGUUUCACUGUUCCUUGUCACUGGAGCACUCACUAGCUUCAGGUUCUCACCUCUGACAUGUUGUAUUUGAAAUGCUUUUAGCAGGGCUUGAAGAGUUUCUUUAUGGUCAGAGGUUUUCUGCUCAGUUCACUGUCGAUUUUCAUUGAAAAUAAGGUAUUAAUGGCAACAAUAUCAUCUGUUUAACAGGAAGUGUUUCUUCAAACGUGGCCUUGCUUGUCCUUAAGAUAGGAUUUUUAUUGUGGCAACAGAGUUGAUCAGUCCGGAAUGGGCCCUACCAUUAAAUCAUUAGCAAAGCUCUCAUUUAUUCACAUGCAAAAGAGGAGCUGGUUUGGCCGUUCAGGAUCUGUUCAAUGAUUAUUUGAGUUUUGAAAUAAGACUGAAGUAACAGUGAUAUCUUCACAUCAACCCACAAAAUAUCACAGUGUAAAAUGCUCUGCUUCUGACACAAGAAUGUGUAUUAGUUGAAGGGAAAAUUUGAGCCAUCUGCCUUGGAGCUCUCUUAGCCUCACAGUUGUGAAGGUAGGUCUCCUGUCACAGUGCAGAAUGCUGAAACUGGUGUCAUUGAUCCUUAGAAUAUUUUGAUGCCCUCUUACCCGUAUAGUUUUAUUGCAAUUCUUCCAGUCUGAUCUGAAGCUUUGUGCAGAGGUCCAGUCCCUCUGUGUUUGGACGCAGCUGUUAUCCCAUGGAAGAGCUGCUUUGCAGUCUUCACUAGCAGUACAAAUUAUAUGGAUAGAAGUGAAACAUUUCAUAUGAAAUUUCAUCCCCUCAGGAAAAAUAAGAAAGAUUUGAGCGGAUCUUUCUAUGCAAACAGCCAUCUCCAAUUUGUACACAGAGAAUGUGGUGUUUCCUGUUGAUGAAAGCUUCUGUCUUAUAAAGAUGCCUUGUGGUAAUCCACUGGGGUUAUUGACAACUUUAUCAUCCCAGCUAGGGUAUAGUUAGUUGGAAUGUAUGUAACUCCAAAAACAAAUUGGAAAGGAAUCCUGAGUGGCUGAAACUUAGCUCUGUCAGUUUAAAUAUCCACAUGACAUAUAACACCUCUUACACACCUCUGACAAUUCAAACAUUUGUUUAAUUACAGAAAGUAAAUUUUUAUCUCCAGUUUAACAUUACAAAGAGUAUUAAUAAUAAUCCCAGGCAAAUCUCCCUCCUGGUGUUUUAAAAGCAAAAAUACAUUGUUGUUAUGCAUGUUGCUAACACCAUACCACUAAAUCUUUUUAAUAGUAAAGUGAGGUAAGACCAUACGCUGCCAGGGAUCACCGGAUUUUUUUCUUUCACCGUGCCCAGAGUUGAUCUCUAAGACCCUCCCUGUCAUCUGUUGUCAUGUAGCAUUUUAGGGAGGAGUGUGCCCAGGGCAGCCACUGCAGCUCCUUUGGGAAACACCCGCAGCUGAGGGGUUAUUUCUGUACACCAGAUCCAGUGUGGCUCAGCUUCACAUCAUAUGAUCAUUGUACAGAUCACAGGCUUCACCUUUCAGCACCUCUCUGCCACACCUGUACCAAGUUUUCUCUGUAAAUGUAGGAUGACCACUGUGGCAGCUUUUUAGAUGUUGGCAAGAAAUGCUGAGCUUUGCUAACAGCAAAUAAACAAAUUUUAUAAUUGUUCCAAGUGAGUGUGUCCCCCAGAGAUCCCAGCAGGUUCCUGCAGAGGCUUCUUUGGAAAGCUUCCUGUUCAGCUUCUGAGAGAAAGCCAACCAAAAAUAAUGCCAGAAUUUGGAAGACACUGGCAGAAACAGUCCGGGAGAUGAGAUUUCACAGAUCACUUCAUUUAAUUCAGUGCUAAUUGGGUGCAGGAGCUUCUGCAGAAGCUCUGGAGGAAAAGGGCUUGCACCACCUUUGGGAAGAUUCUGUCAGCCACAGAGGAGAACUGGACAGCUUUUUCCCUGUGAUUCUAGCAUAAGGAGUAGCAUUGUUUCAGUGGACAUCUACCUGAACAGCAAAGCAAGCACUCCUGGAGUCACCAUCUGGACAUGGCAGAUGUUCAGGAGCCUGGGCAGCUUCUUCAGGACAGCCAAAUGUUGUCUAGGCUGACGAAUGUGAAUAUUCAGCAAGGAUCUCAAGGAGAAAAUUUUAAUUGGGGUAGCUAAUUUUGGAGUUUACUGACAACCUGUUUGGGGGAAUGCAGACAGAAUUGGAGUUCCAAAAACUUAAAAGCAAACUGUAGUGACUUCUCAUGGCAGCUGAGCCAUAACAAGGUAUUCAGCUCAUAGAAUUUUCUGUUUCUAUCAGCUAGUUCCCUUAUAAAAACAGGACUGUUUAAUAUUGAAGUCUUUCAUGAGGGAAGACCAGUGAUGCUCACAGGUGCAUGUACAACAGGCAAUAGUUUUUUGCCAGCUGUUUGAUCCUUUUGAAGAAUCACCUCCAACUGUUCCUUUUUUUUUUUUUUUCUUUUUCAUGCCUGAAUGUUUCUGGAGCAUUGACUAGACUAAUAAAUAUAGAAUGUUUAUUAUAGAAUCCUAUAAACAUGGAAUGUAUGUUAGAAUAUCCAACAGAUUCUCUGAUAUUAAAGAGGAUGUAUCAGUAGGUUUGGCUUUUUCUAGGUAAAGACUAAUCAUGCAAUUAUUCAUUAUCAAAAACUUCCAGGUGUUUCCAGUCACUUUGGAAACAUUGCUGGCUAAACAUUAUUUAUCCUGUUUGUCUUUUUUGAUUACAGUUGUGAUAUUUUAUGUGGAGGGAGGGAACUAAAACAAAUGCAGAGUAUACAGCUGUUGCUUUCUUUUUGUCUUUGAGAUUUGUACUGGCAUCUGUUUUCCUAGGUUGACUCUCUACUCUGCUCCCCACUUACAGGGCCUGCUUGGAAAAGAAAAUACACCUUAACCCCUGUACCUUCCCCCAGCAAAUUGCCAGAAAUCGCAGCUUUUUCUCCUUGAUUAAUUCCUGUUUCCUCUGCGUUUUGCUUCACUUUAUCUCAUUUCUUUCUUAUUUUACCACUUUUUCUCAUGUUCAUUUUCUAUGGAAGUACUGAGAGCAAUCUACAGAGUGUGAAUACAAUGAGUAACAACAGGGAGCAUGUGUAAUUUUUGUGCUGUUUGGCUGCUAAGUCGAUUUUAAAUUUACUUUCUUUGAUUUCUCAGAUACAGAAUAUCUCCACAUCUGAAGAGUUUUGUUCUAACAAAUAUAAUUUUGAAUGCAUCAUUAUUUUUCAGGCUUUUGACACUGUUGUUGAAAAUGAGCGUUAACAUUUUCCAGAGCAAAAACCAGAGCUGCUUUGAAGUUACUUCUUGUGUCCCUUAAAACAGAAGACCUGGAAGACUUUCAUAUACAUGUUGGAAGUCAAGUGGGGCAUAAAUUGUAUUAAAAUUUCAAUUUAUUCUCUCAGGCCUUUUGAUGAUGCAUCACCAGGUCAUGCUGUUGCUCGGUACUUUGUGCAUUGAAGAUCAGUUCAGUGUUUAAUCUCUAGGACAGACCUACUUAACAAUGGUUUCGUCCUGUAGCUGCUGGGAGAGAGAUUCGUUCCCCUAAGCCAGAGCUCUCUCACAUCCUUUGCUAAUGUUGAACAGAUUUGAUCAGGGAUAUAGAUACAUGAUUUCAAGACAGCUGGCCACAGUAAAAAAAAAAAAUAAAAUCAGGCAACUUAAAUCAGCAACAGUUUGAGAUUACACCCCUGUCCUGUCAACCUAAAAGAGAAGAGAGGAAGCCCAUCAGCACACAGGGAAGAUUUCUGUCUUCAGAUUCUCCUCUCCACCCCUGGACAGCCUCUCUAGAAUUAAAUACUCUGGGAUUCACAGGAAAGAGCCAGUAAGGACCAAAAUGAUAUGUCGGCCUUAAAAAGGAAGAAAAAAGCCCAAACAACUGUAAGAAAAAAACAGGUCAUGAGAAUCAAGAUGGAAAAGCUGUUUUCCACAGAAUUACUCAGAGAGGUAUCAGCCCUUCUUCAGGGUCUGUAGAAGAUUGAAUAGCUUUCAUUGAGCAGAGCAUGUUGUGGAGGUGAAUGGAGGAGCACAGACAAAUCACAAGUUCUUCUGUUGGGCAGGUCAGACCUACCAGGUCUGGAGAUGCAACAACCAAGGCAUAGCUUAGAGUAGCCCUAAAGCUUCUCUAAGUUGUGCUUGGGAAAGCAUUGUCUCUAUGUGGAAUGGAUCAUUUUAGUGUAUUUAAGGCAUGUUUAGUUCAUACCAUCUCUUCUGUAAUUACCUGAGGUAUUCUAUUGUCAUACACAAUCAAUCAUCUGACUUCUUCAGUAUCAUUCUUACUUUAAUAAAAUUUCAAAAUUUAACCUC